rnacentral:rRNA from 1 species
GAUGAACGCUGGCGGCGUGCCUAAUACAUGCAAGUCGAGCGAACAGACGAGGAGCUUGCUCCUCUGACGUUAGCGGCGGACGGGUGAGUAACACGUGGAUAACCUACCUAUAAGACUGGGAUAACUUCGGGAAACCGGAGCUAAUACCGCAUAAUAUAUUGAACCGCAUGGUUCAAUAGUGAAAGACGGUUUUGCUGUCACUUAUAGAUGGAUCCGCGCCGCAUUAGCUAGUUGGUAAGGUAACGGCUUACCAAGGCAACGAUGCGUAGCCGACCUGAGAGGGUGAUCGGCCACACUGGAACUGAGACACGGUCCAGACUCCUACGGGAGGCAGCAGUAGGGAAUCUUCCGCAAUGGGCGAAAGCUUGACGGAGCAACGCCGCGUGAGUGAUGAAGGUCUUCGGAUCGUAAAACUCUGUUAUUAGGGAAGAACAAAUGUGUAAGUAACUAUGCACGUCUUGACGGUACCUAAGCAGAAAGCCACGGCUAACUACGU